UGUCAAUGCUUUUAUCUUCAGAAAUGAUUCAACUGAAAAUAACCCUAGCUAUGGUAGGAAAGUUUUGUAUAACAGCAUCAUAUGCUAUAAUAUAUCUGAUGGCAGCUGAAGUAUUUCCAACAGUUGUCAGAAACAUUGGUAUGGGAGUGUCUUCCAUGUGUGCCAGGAUAGGUGGAAUGUUAGCACCACAAAUACUAGAACUUAACAGAUUUUGGGGACCACUACCUUUAAUUCUCUUUGAUGGAUAAGCUAUAUUCUCUGGUGCUUUAGCCUUAUUGUUGCCAGAAACUUCAGGGAAGCCCCUACCUCAGACAAUGGAAGAUGUAACAGAUCCUGAAAAGAGAAAAGUUGCAGAGAAAGGAAUAGACAUGACAGUUUGUUCCCCGGGUACAGAAAAAAUUAGUAUAUUACGAAUGGGAAGUAACUAUGUGAACAGGAAAACUGUAGAGGUGAAUAAAUGAAUUGCAGAGCGGAAAAUGAAAGUACUGAAUGUUUUACUGGAAUGAAAUAGUUUCAUUCUUAAGUGGACCGUAGAGGAAGGAACAAACACAACAGUAUAUUUACCCAUAAUGCAUCAUUUGUAAAGCUAUCACAAAUGUAUUUCAAAAAGGAGUUUUGAAAAAUUGCUAUGUAUUUCCAUAAAUUGAAAGAUAAAGUUAAUAAGUCUUAAAAAUUCAAUAUUGGAAAAAUUAACUAUGUCAUUUUAUAAAUAACAUUUAAAAUACAAUUAUUAAGUACUUAUACCGUGAAUUAUCAGCAUUACAAUAUUGAACUUGUAUAUGGACGUGUAACAAAUAAAGAAUGAUUAUGUUUUAUAGAAAUAUGUAUUUAAACAUCUAUGACCAUUGAAUAAAAAGUAUUAUGAAAUGUA